UACGUAGGGUGCAAGCGUUGUCCGGAAUUAUUGGGCGUAAAGAGUUCGUAGGCGGUCUGUCGCGUCUGCUGUGAAAACUCAGGGCUUAACCCUGAGCUUGCAGUGGGUACGGGCAGACUAGAGUGCGGUAGGGGAGACUGGAAUUCCUGGUGUAGCGGUGAAAUGCGCAGAUAUCAGGAGGAACACCGGUGGCGAAGGCGGGUCUCUGGGCCGUAACUGACGCUGAGGAGCGAAAGCAUGGGGAGCGAACAGG
rnacentral:rRNA from 1 species